rnacentral:lncRNA from 1 species
UCUCCUUAGGUGAAUACUACUCUUCCAGGCAGGAUGCUGCUGCUGGGCUGGGGCCCCUAUGCCCUCCUGUACCUAUAUGCCGCUGUCGCAGAUGUGAGCUUCAUCUCUCCCAAACUACAGAUGGUACAGAUUCUUCCAAAGCCCAAGGAAUCCUGUACAUCUUCACAUCUGUAUCUCUGUAUCACUCUCUCAGGCUUUCUGCUACCACGAUCACUUAGUCUUUCUUUCUUCCUCCUCUCAUCUUCUUUCCUCUAAAUAUUCAUAAGGUACAG